AUGAUUGGUGUCAUGAAAGUUCUAUUGGAGCACCAUGCAGAUCCAAACAAGAUCUCAGAACAGGGACGUACUCCGCUGACUGCAGCACUUUAUGCCACCGAUUCAGGACUACCUGAAUCUAUUUCACUGAAGUGUGUCAAGCUGCUUGUGGAGGCAGGCACAGAUGUAAAUGCUGCUAAUAUUGAAACUCCAUUGGUAAUAGCAACUAGUUAUGGCUUAACUGACUGUGUCAAGUACCUGUUGAAGGCUGGUGCAGACCCUAAUAUCCCACAUAUUCAUACUGGUGCCAAGCCAAUAGAACUUGCUGCAAUCCGUGGAAGACGGAAGCUUGUGGAGUUACUAUUUCCUUUAACUUCUCCUAUUCGAACUGUACGAAACUGGACCGUUGAAGGAAUUAUUGCCCAUGCCAAAAGGCCCUCUAAGCCCUCUAAGCCAACGGUUAAGCAUGAUAAAAGUACGAAAGUUCAGUUGAAAUCAUUUGGUGAGAAAGCUAUUAAGAGAAAGGACUAUCAUGGCGCGUCAAAGUUCUACACCGAGGCAAUUGAGCUGGACCCUAGUGAUGCGACGCUGUACUCAAACAGGAGCCUUUGCUACCUGCAGACUACUGAAGCAGAUAAGGCUUUGCACGAUGCUAACACUUGCAUAAAACUGCGCCCUGAAUGGAUCAAAGGUUACUACCGGAAAGGAGCCGCUCUCAUGUCGCUCGAGGACUACAAAGAAGCUUGUGAUGCAUUCAUGGCUGGACUGCAGCUGGAUCCUGGAAACGCCGAGAUGGAGAAAGUGUUCAUGGAGGCGGUCGAGGAAAUGAAGAAGGAUCACUUGGCUAGAAAAGGCUCCAAGCCAUCCGAUUAA
rnacentral:rRNA from 1 species